rnacentral:tRNA from 1 species
UGGGGUGUAGCUCAGUGGCAGAGCACUUGCCUAGCUUGUGCAAGGACCUGGGUUCCAUUCCCAGCACAGCAA